rnacentral:rRNA from 1 species
GACGAACGCUGGCGGCGUGCCUAACACAUGCAAGUCGAACGGAACUUCUUUAAAGGAUUUCUUCGGAAUGAAUUUGAUUAAGUUUAGUGGCGGACGGGUGAGUAACGCGUGAGUAACCUGCCUCUGAGAGGGGAAUAACAUUCUGAAAAGAAUGCUAAUACCGCAUAAUAUAUAUUUAUCGCAUGGUAGAUAUAUCAAAGAUUUAUCGCUUAGAGAUGGACUCGCGUCCGAUUAGUUAGUUGGUGAGGUAACGGCUCACCAAGACCGCGAUCGGUAGCCGGACUGAGAGGUUGAACGGCCACAUUGGGACUGAGACACGGCCCAGACUCCUACGGGAGGCAGCAGUGGGGGAUAUUGCGCAAUGGGGGAAACCCUGACGCAGCAACGCCGCGUGAAGGAUGAAGGUCUUCGGAUUGUAAACUUCUUUUAUUAAGGACGAAG